ACACUUACCUGGCAGGGGCAAUGCCAUGAUCACGAAGGUGGUUCACCCAGGGAGAGGCUCUGGCAUUGCACUUUGGUGGUGCUGACCCUUGUGAAUUCCCCAAAUGUGGGAAUCUCUACUGCGUAGUUUCUGGUAGUAGGGGACUGCAUUUGUGCUGUACCCUG
ensembl:snRNA U1 U1 spliceosomal RNA